GAUGAACGCUGACAGAAUGCUUAACACAUGCAAGUCAACUUGAACUUCGGUUUGGGUGGCGGACGGGUGAGUAACGCGUAAAGAACUUGCCUCACAGAUAGGGACAACAUUUGGAAACGAAUGCUAAUACCUGAUAUUAUGAUUAUAUGGCAUCGUAUAAUUAUGAAAGCUAUAUGCGCUGUGAGAGAGCUUUGCGUCCCAUUAGCUAGUUGGAGAGGUAACGGCUCACCAAGGCGAUGAUGGGUAGCCGGCCUGAGAGGGUGAUCGGCCACAAGGGGACUGAGACCCGGCCCUUACUCCUACGGGAGGCAGCAGUGGGGAAUAUUGGACAAUGGACAAAGAGUCUGAUCCAGCAAUUCUGUGUGCACGAUGAAGUUUUUCGGAAUGUAAAGUGCUUUCAGUUGGGAAGAAAAAAAUGACGGUACCAACAGAAGAAGUGACGGCUAAAUACGU
rnacentral:rRNA from 1 species